rnacentral:rRNA from 1 species
AAAGGAAUAGACGGGGGCCCGCACAAGCGGCGGAGCAUGCGGAUUAAUUCGAUGCAACGCGAAGAACCUUACCAAGGCUUGACAUACACCGGACGCUUCCAGAGAUGGUUGUUCCUUUUGGUCGGUGUACAGGUGGUGCAUGGUUGUCGUCAGCUCGUGUCGUGAGAUGUUGGGUUAAGUCCCGCAACGAGCGCAACCCUCGUUCCAUGUUGCCAGCACGUAGUGGUGGGGACUCAUGGGAGACUGCCGGGGUCAACUCGGAGGAAGGUGGGGAUGACGUCAAAUCAUCAUGCCCCUUAUGUCUUGGGCUUCACGCAUGCUACAAUGGCCGGUACAGAGUGCUGCGAUACCGUGAGGUGGAGCGAAUCACUUAAAGCCGGUCUCAGUUCGGAUUGGGGUCUGCAACUCGACCCCAUGAAGUCGGAGUCGCUAGUAAUCGCAGAUCAGCAACGCUGCGGUGAAUACGUUCCCGGGCCUUGUACACACCGCCCGU